GGAAUGCAUAUUGCACCUGAUAAAGUGACUUAUAGGGGACGCUGGCGGUUCAACCUCAAACAUGGUUUAGGGUAUCAAGUGUAUCCCAAUGGAGAUUUUUUCGAAGGGUCCUGGAUUAGAGGAACCCCUGAAGGACCUGGUAAGUAUAAAUGGGCGAAUGGUAAUGUCUAUGUGGGUAAUAUGAAGGGAGGGACGUUAUCUGGAAAAGGAACUCUCACUUGGAUCAAUGGAGAUUCAUAUGAAGGAAGCUGGUUAAAUGGCAUGAUGCAUGGUC
rnacentral:misc_RNA from 1 species